GGUGACCAGGUCAUUUAUAGUCCGGUUGGUGCAGGGCCGGCAGGCUCCCUACCUGGCUCCAUGUGGCUCCCCAGAAGCAGUGGCAUAUCCCU